AUGGCCGAAUGCUUCAAUAGGGUGCUCAAAGGUGCACGUGGAUUACCCGUGACGGCAAUAGUUCAAUACACAUUUGACAAGAUGAAUGCGUACUUUGUAAAGUACUCGAUGGAAACCGAUGCACAGAUAGCGGGUGAGAACCCGCGCAAGUACAAGUUCCCACCCAAAGUUGAUGAAUGGUUGGUAUUUCAAUCACGGAAGGCGGACUCAGAAGAAGCUAUAUUAUAUGACAACGAAGAGUGGAAGUACGAAGUGAAAGAGCCAGGAGGAACCACAAACGAUGGCCGGCAACAUGGAGGUCGGGCUUUCAAGGUGUCGUUAACACAAUGUGAUUGCACUUGCGGGAGGCCAUUGUUGCUUCAUCUCCCAUGCUCACAUUUGUAUGCCGCCGGUCGCGUUAGGAAUGUGGACAUCAAUCACCCACGCACUGUGAGGGAGUCGGAGUUCUCAAUCAUGAUGGUCAAGAAAACAUGGGCUCCCCGCUUUCACCCAUACUUUGACCAAUCACAAUGGCCGGAGUAUCAUGGAGUUCAACUAUGGCCGGAUCCG
rnacentral:rRNA from 1 species